UUAGCAGGAGCCUCCCGGGCUAAUCUGAUAACUAAGGUACUUGAAGAAGUAAGCCCCAAAGCUCCUGCUAGAUUAUUUUUAGCGUUUGUGUUGCAGAUUUGCCGUAUUCCUUAGGCUUUUCUGUGUCAAAAAAGCGUCUAUAUCU
rnacentral:snoRNA from 1 species